AUAAGGAGUGUAAACAAACACCACCCAGUGUGGACUUUCAAGAUCAUCUAUCGACUAAACUAGCCAGUUAUCUCGAUACACUGUAGCUGGUGUAGUUAAAAAAUAAUGGAAGAUAGAAGCCUUCCUCGUAUUGUGGUCAUUGCACUGUCUGUGCUGAUUUACAUUUCUGCUUUAGCAAUUAAUGCCAUGGCAGGCGCUGGAAAAGGACCAUUCCAUUCGAGUACAGGGAACAUUUCCAAGAAGUAUGAAACCGACAUAACUCCGGCCGGAUGGACCUUUUCUAUCUGGGGGCUCAUCUACACCUGGUUGUCUCUCAUGCUCAUCUAUGUCAUCUCCUUCCUCUACAGAAGGAGCUGGACCCUCUUUGUGCUGCCGUACGGUUUCUACGUGUCCUGGAUAGUCAACAUGGCCUUCAACAUGACCUGGCUUGUCCUAUGGGUUCAAGAGCAGAUGACUGCUGCGUUGAUUGUACUGUGGAUCAUUGCUGUCACCAACUACUCUAUGAUCUUUUUCUCCUGCUAUGGGCUGAGUGUCUACGGAGCCUGGCUCAGCCAGAACCAACCUAGUGAUCUUUGGUGCAUCCGGGUGCUGAUUCCGUCUCUCGCAGUUGAAGUGUACCUAUGGUAAAAAUUACAGACCUCUACAUGCUUUGUGCAGAAUGGCAUUGCCCUGUAUACCACAUGGACAACCAUUGCCACUCUGAUCAACUUCACCCUGGUGUUGGACCUCUCUGGAGUGGCAAAUAGCACUGCAGCCACCGUGUCUCUUUGUAUCCUACUGGUGGAGGUGAUCGGAUGGUUUGGUAUUGAGAACUUCCUGCUGGAUCAGCAUGUGAGGUACAUCCUGACUAUUUACCCUGUGGUGAUCAUUGCUCUGGUUGGGAAUGUGUUCAAGCACUAUGAUCCUGCAGCACCAAGCGCAAACGCUAUCUUCAUGGUUUGUCUCUUGGUGGUUUCCUGUGUGCUCCUGGUGGUGCGAGUCGCCUUGGUGUUCAGGAGAAAUCGGAACCAGCCCCUGUACGCUGGCAUGAGCCUGGAGGCUCUGAUCUCGCCCAGCAGCCUGAACAAGAAUCAGAAUAAGAUAUUCAUGUAGAAGACUGGUACACACCACAAUACCAUCUUUUCACGAAGUGUCAAACCGUAAUAAUCUAUAACAUAACACAUUGCCUAUAUUAAACCAUACACAUUCAUUAUUCAGUUUGGACAAGAAACAGAUGAAGAUAUUCAUGUAGAAGACUGGUAGUCUUCUACAUAGUACGAUCUGUAAACGAUACGAAGUGUCAAAGCCUAUGCUUCCAUAUAAUAUAAUCCAUAACAUAUAAUCCUGUAUUACGCACACUGUAUUAAAAAACCUGUAUUCAUCCAAUCAUAACAUUCCACUACACUGUAAUGCAUAACACUUUCUAUGUUUAUAAUACAUGUAAUAAGAGAUAUUUGUACACUAAUCAAUGCACUGAAUAAUCAUACAAUUCCAGUGUAAGUAACACUUUUUUUUUUUACGUGAUUCUUACUAUUUUGUAUUGAUCUGAUACAUAAAAACAUUUUGCCUAUCCUGUUUUGACAAUGCUAUUUUCACUUGAUGAAACUAUUAGUCUACACACUGAGUAUGAGUAGAAAUAUGGAAUGCUAAAAUAAAAUGGGAUGUUAAUGUUUUAUUAUAUGGUUGAUGUGGGGUUACGACAUUUUUUUUUUCCUAUGAUUACAUACAGUUG
ensembl:lncRNA